rnacentral:rRNA from 1 species
UACGGAGGGUGCAAGCGUUAAUCGGAAUUACUGGGCGUAAAGCGCACGUAGGUGGUUUGUUAAGCUAGAUGUGAAAGCCCCGGGCUCAACCUGGGAAUUGCAUUUAGAACUGGCAAGCUAGAGUAGGGUAGAGGGGUGUGGAAUUCCAGGUGUAGCGGUGAAAUGCGUAGAGAUUGGAAAGAACACCAAUGGCGAAAGCACUUUACUGGGCUAUUACUGACACUGAGAGACGAAAGCUAGGGUAGCAAAUGGG